CAGUCGCCGCGGGAAUACGGAGGAUCCGAGCGUUAUCCGGAAUUAUUGGGUUUAAAGGGUGCGUAGGCAGAUAGAUAAGUCAGUGGUGAAAGACGGUGGCUCAACCAUCGCAGUGCCGUUGAUACUGUUUAUCUUGAAUAUGGAUGAGGUAGGCGGAAUGUGGCAAGUAGCGGUGAAAUGCAUAGAUAUGCCACAGAACACCGAUUGCGAAGGCAGCUUACCAAGGCAAAAUUGACGCUGAGGCACGAAAGCGUGGGGAUCGAACAGGAUUAGAUACCCCAGUAGUCCCUGUCUCUUAUAC
rnacentral:rRNA from 1 species